GGCUGGGUAGCUCAGUUGGUACGAGCGAUCGCCUGAAAAGCGAUAGGUCGCCGGUUCGAUCCCGGCCCCAGCCACCA
rnacentral:tRNA from 122 species